rnacentral:rRNA from 1 species
UACGUAGGGUGCGAGCGUUGUCCGGAAUUAUUGGGCGUAAAGGGCUCGUAGGCGGUUUGUCACGUCGGGAGUGAAAACUCGGGGCUCAACCCCGAGCCUGCUUCCGAUACGGGCAGACUAGAGGUAUGCAGGGGAGGAUGGAAUUCCUGGUGUAGCGGUGAAAUGCGCAGAUAUCAGGAGGAACACCGGUGGCGAAGGCGGCUCUCUGGGCAUUACCUGACGCUGAGGAGCGAAAGUGUGGGGAGCGAACAGG